AUUGGCUGAGACGCUGAAGCCAAUGAGAAGGCGCGAUGUUGACGGGGUCGUAAGAUGGCUGCCCGGCCUCCGCUUCUUGACCGCUCCAGUUAAUGGGAAUGUCAGCAGGCCAGACAUCCUACGCCGGAAUCUGUGGCGCUUAGUUCUGUGUCCGGGAGGGGAUUCUCCCCGUUUGGGGAUUGGAGUGUGGCAGUGCCGCCAGAGAGCCUGCGGAGUUCCCGGUUGUGCAGCCAAGCAGGAAAAGGUGUUCCUUUAUAGAGCCACCCUCUUGCAGUCUUGAACCUUAAGAAAAGAUGUGGAGUGGGCUGCUACCUUCUGGCCUAAAUGAAAGUGAUGUUGAGUCGAAUUCUGAAGAUGAAGCCACAUUAGAGGACUCUGGACUUAACUUACGGGAAGAUAAAGAGGAUGGAACCAUUAGAAAAACAGAAGUCUCAGAUUUUCCAACAGAUGGAUCAAAAACUGAAACAAAGGCAAAUGUAAAUGCGUAUGAAGAGUGCCCUUCUGGAAUUCCCUUAAAUAUGUGGAAU